AAAUCCCUUUCUGUGUCAGUGUUGGAUGAUGGAGAGCAGUGUGAAUGUGACGUGUGCAGAGAUUCAAAUCACAGACGGGUUUGAGUUCAGAGUCACUGCUGACAGAUUCACUCACUUGCAUCAGUCUGACUGUGAAUCGCUCUGGUACUCACAGGAUGAUAUUCUGAUAGCAGACCCAUCAGAUCCUCAGAAACUGAUUGAUCCUGUUAUUUCUGUCUCAUCUGAUCGUCUCGUCACGUCACACUGUGUGAAUGAACUCCGUCACGAGAUCCUCUGCGAUGCUUCAGGAUUCAGACUGGACACCAUAUUCAGAGCGAGGAAUGAAACUGCAGUGACUCCAAACUCAGUGACUCCAGAUCUCCAACAUUCAGAUCAGUGGUGGUGGAUUUAUGUUCUUCUCAUUGUCAUUGUUCUUCUGGUGUUGAUCUGUUUCUUGCGUAAAAGGAUCUUCAGAUGUUUUCAGAGAAAAGAGCGGUUCAUCAGUCAGCGUGAAGCUCCAGACAACAGGGAUCUGGUGACGCUCAGAUCUGAUCAUCCAGGAAUUGGUUCAGCGAAUCAGUGCAGUGUUCAGUGUUCAGAUGCUGAUAAAGCAUCUGAUGUUUUGAAUGAUUAUUCACCAUUCUGGUUCUUUUCAAAAAAGAAUAAGAACCGGUUUUCGGUUCCCACGCCAAGUCAUGAAGAUCAGAUUUAUUAA
ensembl:lncRNA